rnacentral:rRNA from 1 species
AUUGAACGCUGGCGGCAUGCUUUACACAUGCAAGUCGAACGGUAACAGGUUAAGCUGACGAGUGGCGAACGGGUGAGUAAUGCAUCGGAACGUGCCCGGUCGUGGGGGAUAACGCAGCGAAAGCUGCGCUAAUACCGCAUACGAUCUGAGGAUGAAAGCGGGGGACCGUAAGGCCUCGUGCGAUCGGAGCGGCCGAUGUCAGAUUAGGUAGUUGGUGGGGUAAAGGCUCACCAAGCCGACGAUCUGUAGCUGGUCUGAGAGGACGACCAGCCACACUGGGACCGAGACACGGCCCAGACUCCUACGGGAGGCAGCAGUGGGGAAUUUUGGACAAUGGGCGCAAGCCUGAUCCAGCAAUGCCGCGUGCAGGAAGAAGGCCUUCGGGUUGUAAACUGCUUUUGUACGGAGCGAAAAGGCUCUCUCUAAUACGGAGGGCUCAUGACGGUACCGUAAGAAUAAGCACCGGCUAACUACGUGCCAGCCGCCGCCGUAA